UACGGAGGAUGCGAGCGUUAUCCGGAUUUAUUGGGUUUAAAGGGUGCGCAGGCGGGAUUUUAAGUCAGCGGUGAAAUUUUCAGGCUCAACCUGAACACUGCCGUUGAAACUGGGAUUCUUGAGUAUGGAUGAAGUAGGCGGAAUUCGCUGUGUAGCGGUGACAUGCUUAGAUAUAACGAGGAACUCCGAUUGCGUAGGCAGCUUACUAAGCCAUAACUGACGCUCAAGCACGAAAGCGUGGGGAUCAAACAGG
rnacentral:rRNA from 1 species